rnacentral:snRNA from 1 species
AAGUGUUACAGCUCUAUUAGAAUUUGACUAGCAGGUUUCCUGGUCUUUUUCGGAAAGCCCCU